rfam:Agrilus planipennis Contig68835, whole genome shotgun sequence.
CUGAUCUACCAACUCGAGGAGGGUUUUUAGUCGGUAGGCGCUCUCAUCAGGAGUGAAUCCGACACUACCUCCCUUUUGGGGGGUGUCUUUAGAAGAUUUCCCCUCCUCGG